UACAGAGGGGCAAGCGUUAUUCGGAAUUAUUGGGCGUAAAGGGCGCGUAGGCGGCUUGGCAAGUGGAUGGUGAAAUCCCUCGGCUUAACCGAGGAACUGCCGUCCAAACUGCUUCGCUUGAGACCGGGAGAGGUGAGUGGAAUUCCCAGUGUAGCGGUGAAAUGCGUAGAUAUUGGGAGGAACACCAGUGGCGAAGGCGGCUCACUGGACCGGUACUGACGCUGAGGCACGAAGGCCAGGGGAGCAAACGGG
rnacentral:rRNA from 1 species